CUUUAGGUGGGCGGGGUCUGUGCUUUGUCCUGCCUCAGGUCCCCGCUGGUCCCUCGCGCUGCCGGAAAGUGGGCCAAAGGGGAUAUCCAGAACUGCGGGGGCGUCCCGAGGCCCUUCUUUGCCCACACCGAAGAGGUCCUUGGAUUGAGAAUGAGACAAUUCACAGCAGGGACUGCCGGACAUCAACACCAUGAGGUGCCAACACUCUCAGGAACUUCUUGUUCCUGCGCACUGCCAGCUGGGUUAUUUUCAGAGAGGCGCUGAAGGAAAUAAGUUCUUUCUCCCUCUCCCACCUGGGCUGGAAGCCAAGAUAGCUGUGUAUUUGGAAGAAAGCAGAAGCCAAGAUCUGAAGAAAUAGAAAAGAAGCACUCCCUAUUCCUGACAGCCAACCUGGGGCCACCUGCUGCUGAUCAAAGAGCUUUGAUGAUUUCUGGAAAUUAUCAUUCAUCAUGAGACAAACCCUCCCUUUUGUUAUAAAAGCAACUCGCCCCUUCUACUCAGGGAGCUGGCUCUUUUUUUUUUUUCCUGCCUUCUCCCUUGUGCACAAGCUAUCUCUUUUAAUAAAAAGCUUUGCUUGCCUGAGAGCCUUGUAGAAGCGAUAUUCAUUUCUACCGUAUUGCUGUCCAAGAGUCUGGAAAGGGCCUGGUAACAGUAGGAACAGACUUUAAGACCAAAGGAGGAGGAUUCUGAGCUGAGAUCAGCUUUUUUAUUUGGAAAGAUCACUCUGGCUAUCCUGGGGAGAAUGGAUUAGAAGGGGGUAGAGUCAGAGCCAGGCAACCUGGUUAGGAAUCUCUAGCAGAAAUCCAGGGGUGAAGAGCUUGAACUAGGGUACUGAGAAAGAGAAAAGUAGCUGCUAAUGUCCAGAAGC